rnacentral:rRNA from 1 species
GAUGAACGCUGGCGGCGUGCCUAAUACAUGCAAGUCGAGCGAACGGACGAGAAGCUUGCUUUUCUGAUGUUAGCGGCGGACGGGUGAGUAACACGUGGAUAACCUACCUAUAAGACUGGGAUAACUUCGGGAAGCCGGAGCUAAUACCGGAUAAUAUUUUGAACCGCAUGGUUCAAAAGUGAAAGACGGUCUUGCUGUCACUUAUAGAUGGAUCCGCGCUGCAUUAGCUAGUUGGUAAGGUAACGGCUUACCAAGGCAACGAUGCAUAGCCGACCUGAGAGGGUGAUCGGCCACACUGGAACUGAGACACGGUCCAGACUCCUACGGGAGGCAGCAGUAGGGAAUCUUCCGCAAUGGGCGAAAGCCUGACGGAGCAACGCCGCGUGAGUGAUGAAGGUCUUCGGAUCGUAAAACUCUGUUAUUAGGGAAGAACAUAUGUGUAAGUAACUGUGCACAUCUUGACGGUACCUAAUCAGAAAGCCACGGCUAACUACGCG